rnacentral:rRNA from 1 species
GAAUAUUGGACAAUGGGGGGAACCCUGAUCCAGCCAUGCCGCGUGUGUGAAGAAGGCCUUUUGGUUGUAAAGCACUUUAAGCGAGGAGGAGGCUACUCUAGUUAAUACCUAGAGAUAGUGGACGUCACUCGCAGAAUACGCACCGGCAAACUCGGUGCCAGCACCCGGGGGAAUACAGAGGGUGCAAGCGUUACUCGGAUUUACUGGGCGUAAAGCGCGCGUAGGUGGCCAAUUAAGUCAAAUGUGAAAGCCCCGAGCUUAACUUGGGAAUUGCAUUCGAUACUGGUUGGCUAGAGUAUGGGAGAGGAUGGUAGAAUUCCAGGUGUAGCGGUGAAAUGCGUAGAGAUCUGGAGGAAUACCGAUGGCGAAGGCAGCCAUCUGGCCUAAUACUGACACUGAGGUGCGAAAGCAUGGGGAGCAAACA